UUUGCAAUUAUCUAUAUUACUGAUAUGGAUUACAACUUACAUCCAUCCAACGCCGCCGACGACAUAUAACGCACGUCCCGUGCGUAGGAAGAUUCAGAUUUCUUUCUGAUCCUGCCUUUGAUGAGCAAAGAAGAAUACUCUUAUCUUAUAGGGAUGUAUUGAGGCAAUUCAAUCAAACCUUUUCAUUUAAUAUAAGAUGAUAAUUACAAUUUGUACAAAGAUAUAGCUAAUUCCCAUUUACAAUGUGAAUCACUCUACAAAUAGAGCUAACCCCCAUUUACAAUCUACAUCUUCGACAAAAUCAACGCAGUGCCAAGUUCUUUCAUUUACAAUGUGUAAGCAUAGUGAAUACAAACUAAGCACCAGUGAGCUUUGUCGCAGAUUACAACUACAUUAAACUAAGCAUCAAUUUCAGUCAGUCUUCGACAUAAUUUCACGCUAGUCUUCGACACCAGUACCAAUUUCAUUUAACUGGUCUUGGACAGCAGUGCCUAGUUCAUUUGCCAAUUUCAGUUAGUCUUCGACACCAGUACCAAUUUCAUUUAACUGGUCUUGGACAGCAGUGCCUAGUUCAUUUGCCAAUUUCAGCAGUGCCUAGUUCAGUAGCAGUGCCUAGUUCAUUUACACUUCAACUACUGCUACACCAGUACCUAAAGAACAAAUUGUUUCAAAUAAGCAUUUUAUCAAACAUCUAGAGCACAUUAAAAAAAAAACAAAUAGCUUCUAUGUUAGUUGUAAGGUUAAAUACCAUAAAAUCAAGGUAUGAGGGACACAAAUUUAAAAAAAUCCAAUUAUACAUAAAAUCAAAGUAUAAGGAUACAAAACAAGAAUAAAUCAAAAAGAAGAGAAGCAAAAAAAAACCUUGUUCCUGGUGUGGC
rnacentral:lncRNA from 1 species